rnacentral:tRNA from 1 species
GGCAGUGUGGCCGAGUGGUUAAGGCGACUGACUCGAAUAUUUUCGGGUUAUCAGUUGGGAUUUCCCGCGCAGGUUCGAAUCCUGCUGCUGUCG